UACAGAGGUCUCGAGCGUUGUUCGGAUUCAUUGGGCGUAAAGGGUGCGUAGGUGGCUAGGUAAGUCGGAUGUGAAAUCUCGGGGCUCAACCCCGAAACUGCAUUCGAUACUGCCUGGCUAGAGUACUGGAGAGGAGAUUGGAAUUUACGGUGUAGCAGUGAAAUGCGUAGAUAUCGUAAGGAAGACCAGUGGCGAAGGCGGAUCUCUGGACAGUUACUGACACUGAGGCACGAAGGCCAGGGGGAGCAAACGGGG
rnacentral:rRNA from 1 species